AAUCUAUAUUCUUUAUGUGUGGCAGUGCGUGGCUGAAUGGUUACGCUGUCCGCUUUGUAAGCGGAUGAUCAUGGGUUUGAUUUCCAUCUGCUCCAAUCAAACAUGGUAUUUUCUCGGCCGAUGGCGAGAGCUUAUCGAUAUCGUCCCUCGCUCACAUCAUCCAAUUUUCGGCGUUCUCUCAAAACCAAGAGAGCGAAGGAAAAAUGACGCCGAUGAAGAAGCGAGAAACGAAUACACCGAUGCGGUUGACAGAAAAAAAUCUCUCGUGGAGCAGGCUCUCUCGCUCAAAAAGCAAGAGAGAGAGAGAGCAAUAGUGAUAAGCUCUCGCCCGUAGGCCCCUGCAGAAAUAAUGCAUUUGUGUGCGUGAGACCAACGUGUACGUACCCGACCAGUUCGUGUGGAGAUAUUUCCAGAAUGUUGGAACCACUACUAACACAGUAAAAAAAAAUCAUGGUAAUAUUACAUCUGGGAAGGGGUACAUCGUUUAUGUCAGAGAAAAUGUGUGAUUUUAUUUCUAAAAAUGUCUCAUUUGAUCACAUUACUGGUUUAAUGCAUCUUUUUCAGUCUAAAUUGAGGUAAAAUUACAACAUUAAAGAGGUAAUAUUAACAUUGAAUAUUUUUAUUUUUUGAAGCUAAAAUAUAAAAUUGCUAAGUUAAAAAGUUGAAUUGUUCAUCUUUUAAAUUUCACUCGACCACUUUUCUAGCUGCUAAAAAUAAGAAAGUUACAAAAAAUGCCGAAAUUCAUACCCACUGUUGUCAUGUCAUAUCGUUUCAUAAAAGAAUAAAAAAUGCAAAAAAGUUUAUUGCAAAACCCAACAAAGUUCUACUGAUAUAUAGCUGAAAUUUAUAAAUUUAAGGUUUAUCAAAAAAAAAAAACAGAAAGAUUUUAACCCAAAAACAAAACUUUUCUUAAAUCAAGCGAAACGCGCUACGCGAAUUCGGAUUGAUUCGGAUUUCUGGAAGCAUACUUUUUGUGUCUUGCGCCAAAAUAAGAAUGACGAAGACGCGCGCAACCGCCCGAGGAGACCAGCAAAAAAGGAUAAUAACCAAAACCGAUUGUGUAUUAAUUCAACGUUUAUAUAUAAAUAUAAAAACAAAAACUUACAAGAUAACAACUUUUGCCUUCACCGUUCAGAAAACAAGAAGAAAAAAAAACAAACAGUCUCUCUUAAUCGCGAAUGUGGCUUCAUUUGCGAAUGUUACACGAAAUUGAAGGGUAUAAAUUACAAUGAGAAGCAACAAUAAAUAGAACUAAUAACCGAUCAGAUCACCAAGCUCUUUACACAAAGCAGUUCACUCACAUUGGGCAAUGCAGUGUUCGUAGAAUUAGUCCAGGGAACGCGCGUCACUCAAGUGGAAUGCAAUCUCAUCCCGUCAUUACAUCUGAAGUUGAAGAAAUCGCGAAAUUCGUCAAGUAUUUUUAUUACUCUUUUCAAUCGCAAAUUAUAUACAUAUAAAGCUAUAUAUAUAUAUUUAUACCGGUCAGGACGCGUUUAAUCGUGAUGUUCUGAAAUGUAAAUGCAUGACUUGUUAAAUUAAAAACAAAUAACAAAUUCAACUAACACUUAUUGUGAUUACUACUGUAAAUGUUACAGCUCGAUGUACAUAUUGGCUAAGAAUCAUAAAACAAACUAUAUUUAACAUCAAAAAAAAAAACUCAGAACUGGAAUUGUUUCUCAAAAGCUUGCUCGCGUUUAGAGAAAGAUCAAGAGAGUUGUAACAAACCAAAACAUGGUUUAUAUUUAUGAAGGAAGGUGUAGCUUUUUUUUCUCUCUCUCCCCGUGGGAAUCAACAGUUGUGUAUAGAAAGAAGCAAAAUAGUGUAUUUUGCGGUAAUUAGCUGCAAAAAGGUGGGAUAAAGUUCAAUUUGAUAGCUUUAAUAAAACGGUGAAGACAAGUGCUAGUAAGAAGAAAGAGUCAAACAAAGAUGCCUUCUUGAUUUAAUCACACAAACACACACACACACAAACACACAUAGAUCCAAACACAAACACACUCGUUGCUGGAGAUGCUCCAGAAAUAUUUUAAGUUUGCAAUCACGAUGAAUAAUCGAAAAACAAAAAGAAAAAAAAAGUCAACGGUUACCAUCAAUCCUGCAAAGAUGCUUACAACAGCGUUAUCUUAUGUUUAACAUGUAGGUCAUAAUUUUAAGCAAGAACCAAUUCUAGUGAUAACCAUUAAGUAUUUUGUUUUAAAGUUAUUCGUUUCCGUUACGACAAUUGCCAAUAUUUUUAAUAUGUAGCGAAGAGGCAUAAAUUCCAAGUUGCGUGCAAUUGAUUCAUUAUUUUGUUUUAAUUAUUCGAUAGAUGUUUAUAACUUUUUUAUGUUUUAAAAUUCAGUAGAAAGGACAAGCAAGUCUUAAAAGAUGACCACACGGAGAAGAUAUAAUCAAAAUAGAAUAAUCCAAAUCUAAUCUUGCAUUCCUAUCAAAUGAAACAGUUUAUAAGGUACGAUUGCGGGUGGGAGAAGCGGCCGACGAGACCGAGGGAAAGACGAAUGAAAUAAAAAAAAAUGAAAAUAACGUA